AGUGAAAUUGAACUCGCUGUGAAGAUGCAGUGUACCCGCGGCAAGACGGAAAGACCCCGUGAACCUUUACUAUAGCUUGACACUGAACAUUGAGCCUUGAUGUGUAGGAUAGGUGGGAGGCUUUGAAGCGUGGACGCCAGUCUGCGUGGAGCCGACCUUGAAAUACCACCCUUUAAUGUUUGAUGUUCUAACGUGGACCCGUUACCCGGGUUGCGGACAGUGUCUGGUGGGUAGUUUGACUGGGGCGGUCUCCUCCUAAAGAGUAACGGAGGAGCACGAAGGUUGGCUAAUCCUGGUCGGACAUCAGGAGGUUAGUGCAAUGGCAUAAGCCAGCUUGACUGCGAGCGUGACGGCGCGAGCAGGUGCGAAAGCAGGUCAUAGUGAUCCGGUGGUUCUGAAUGGAAGGGCCAUCGCUCAACGGAUAAAAGGUACUCCGGGGAUAACAGGCUGAUACCGCCCAAGAGUUCAUAUCGACGGCGGUGUUUGGCACCUCGAUGUCGGCUCAUCACAUCCUGGGGCUGAAGUAGGUCCCAAGGGUAUGGCUGUUCGCCAUUUAAAGUGGUACGCGAGCUGGGUUUAGAACGUCGUGAGACAGUUCGGUCCCUAUCUGCCGUGGGCGCUGGAGAACUGAGGGGGGCUGCUCCUAGUACGAGAGGACCGGAGUGGACGCAUCACUGGUGUUCGGGUUGUCAUGCCAAUGGCACUGCCCGGUAGCUAAAUGCGGAAGAGAUAAGUGCUGAAAGCAUCUAAGCACGAAACUUGCCCCGAGAUGAGUUCUCCCUGAGACUUAGAGUCUCCUGAAGGAACGUUGAAGACGACGACGUUGAUAGGCCGGGUGUGUAAGCGCAGCGAUGCGUUGAGCUAACCGGUACUAAUGAACCGUGAGGCUUAACCUUACAACGCCGAAGCUGUU
rnacentral:rRNA from 1 species